UGGGGAAUAUUGCACAAUGGGCGCAAGCCUGAUGCAGCCAUGCCGCGUGUGUGAAGAAGGCCUUCGGGUUGUAAAGCACUUUCAGCGGGGAGGAAGGCGAUAAGGUUAAUAACCUUGUCGAUUGACGUUACCCGCAGAAGAAGCACCGGCUAACUUCGUGCCAGCAGCCGCGGUAAUACGGAGGGUGCAAGCGUUAAUCGGAAUUACUGGGCGUAAAGCGCACGCAGGCGGUCUGUCAAGUCGGAUGUGAAAUCCCCGGGCUUAACCUGGGAACUGCAUUCGAAACGGGCAGGCUAGAGUCUUGUAGAGGGGGGUAGAAUUCCAGGUGUAGCGGUGAAAUGCGUAGAGAUCUGGAGGAAUACCGGUGGCGAAGGCGGCCCCCUGGACAAAGACUGACGCUCAGGUGCGAAAGCGUGGGGAGCAAACAGG
rnacentral:rRNA from 1 species